ACAGUGAGGCCUAGCGAAUAGCAUGUAAUGUGGAUAUAUGACCGUUUAAGUGUUCGAACAAAGAAAGGUGUGUUUCCGAACUGUGCGUUUCCUCGAAAGGCCUUUAUUUGCCGUGGUUGUUGGUCAUUAACAGGGACAACAGGCGAAAUUCGUGAUACAUGUUACUGCCUGUGUAUCACUCCUACCUUGUUCCGUCGUUUGCGCGUUAUAACAAUGCAACAAUGUAGGAAAGCGUCGUAAACUGUUAGUGUUUUCAUCAAGGCACACAGGUAUAUGUAAGAAGAAAAAAUAAAUUUUGGGUCGCAGGUCCACUUGGGGCGAGCGAAGACGACGACGAUUUAGGGCAUCUACUGAUUGCGGAACAAGAUUUGUUUCGUGAGCAUCUGCCUCACUUGGGCACCACGACUUGCUUCUGUAAUUCUUCUACUAUGUUCUCUUAAUCUGAUGCCACCAUACUUUUGCAGGAUCACUUUUGCCAGUGAAAUUAUGUGAUCAGGCUCCUCUGCAUAGUGCUGGCACAGUGGUAGCUUGUCACCGUGUGUUAGGAUGAAGAGAUUAAACGAUUUCAAAACGAUCGCCCGCACUACAAGCUUCACAGACCUCAAUUUCUCUAGACGAAAGGUCUGCUGUGUAACAAAGGAGGAUGGUUUAACCAGCCCUCCAUUGUCCCUGAGCAUGAUGAGAACACUUGAUGUCUCGUCAUCUAGGAGUGUGUCCAAACAACCAUUACAGGCGCAACAUUCGCAGAGCUUGGGGCCUGAACUUCAGCGUGUAUCAGAAGCUUCCUCUGAAGAACAGUUCCAAGUGGUCCUGGCUGAGGCGACCUCUACAUGUUACCUGCAUGCGCCCGCCUGGAACAGCGCUUCUGCCAGCUGUGCAACACUUUUUAGCGUAAAGGCCACGCUGAUGACUGACAUGCGUGUCCCAUGCUGAGCAGCUAGCUCCCCGGAUGGAAGUCGCAGUGUCAUCAUUCUUGACGACAAUCUUUAGUGGCCACAGUCAUGAAAAUGAAAGGCCUACUCAUCUACGUCGGCAAUGAACGAAGCGGUUGCGUCACUUCCUUCAAAUUCGGUCAAUCCCAGGAGCCGUGCGUGGGUCAGGGCUUUGCUCACGGAUGAACUUAGAGUCUGCGCUACAAGGCGGACCUUCAUGAUCUGGCGGCCAAACUCAAUAUGGGAUCUGGGUCAGUUGCAGCCGUCGACGGACACCACGCAGGUACUGGUUCUUCUCUCGAAGUUGUCUCAUUCCUGUUCUUGGCGUUGUUUUGCUGUGCAGCAGAAGAACCUGACAGCAGAAAGCAGCAGGAAUAAGAAAUGACAUACAGACAUAUACUCACUGCAUUCCGCUUUUGUGGCAGCUUACAGUAGGGAUGGUCCUCAUGGUCAAACAGGCAGUGGAACAGCUGGAGAAGGGACGGCGGGCUCUGCUUGCUCAGCACUGGCUUCAAGCAUUUCCUGGAAAACAUGCAGUGAAGGCAGUCAUACAGGGGGGUGGCUGCACAAACUACUAUGUACUUACCAGGGAAACUGUGUCAGCACCACUUUCAUCUCUUUCAUCUGGCUGGAUGGCUGUUACUUGGCUCUAAAAAAGUUCUUCCAUUAUUAUCUCCUUUUGUAUCAUUUUAAAAGUAAUAAAGAAUAACCGGAUA